UGGGGAAUUUUGGACAAUGGGGGCAACCCUGAUCCAGCCAUGCCGCGUGCGGGAAGAAGGCCUUCGGGUUGUAAACCGCUUUUGUCAGGGAAGAAAUGUCCUGGGUUAAUACCCUGGGGGGAUGACGGUACCUGAAGAAUAAGCACCGGCUAACUACGUGCCAGCAGCCGCGGUAAUACGUAGGGUGCGAGCGUUAAUCGGAAUUACUGGGCGUAAAGCGUGCGCAGGCGGUUAUACAAGACAGAUGUGAAAUCCCCGGGCUCAACCUGGGAACUGCAUUUGUGACUGUAUAGCUGGAGUACGGUAGAGGGGAGUGGAAUUCCGCGUGUAGCAGUGAAAUGCGUAGAUAUGCGGAGGAACACCGAUGGCGAAGGCAGCUCCCUGGACCUGUACUGACGCU
rnacentral:rRNA from 1 species